CGGGGUGAGUAACGCGUGAGGAACCUGCCUUUCAGUGGGGGACAACAGUUGGAAACGACUGCUAAUACCGCAUAACGUACUGGUAUCGCAUGGUACUGGUACCAAAGAUUUAUCGCUGAGAGAUGGCCUCGCGUCUGAUUAGCUAGUUGGUAGGGUAACGGCCUACCAAGGCGACGAUCAGUAGCCGGACUGAGAGGUUGGCCGGCCACAUUGGGACUGAGAUACGGCCCAGACUCCUACGGGAGGCAGCAG
rnacentral:rRNA from 1 species